rnacentral:rRNA from 1 species
AGUGAACGCUGGCGGCGUGCCUAACACAUGCAAGUCGAACGAUGAUUGAGAGCUUGCUCUCAUGAUUAGUGGCGCACGGGUGAGUAUACCAUAGAUAAUGUACCUCUUAGUUCGGGAUAGCCACUGGAAACGGUGAUUAAUACCGGAUACUCCUUCUUGUCUCAAGGCAAGUCGGGAAAGUUUUUUCGCUAAGAGAUCAGUCUAUGUCCUAUCAGCUAGUUGGUGAGGUAAUGGCUCACCAAGGCAAUGACGGGUAUCUGGUUUGAGAGGAUGAUCAGACACACUGGAACUGAGACACGGUCCAGACUCCUACGGGAGGCAGCAGUGAGGAAUAUUGCACAAUGGAGGAAACUCUGAUGCAGCAACGCCGCGUGGAGGAUGACGCAUUUCGGUGUGUAAACUCCUUUUAAGAGGGAAGAUAAUGACGGUACCUCUUGAAUAAGCACCGGCUAAAUACGUGCCAGCAGCCGCCGUAA